GGUUAAGUUAACAAGGGCGCAUGGUGAAUGCCUUGGCACUAGGAGCCGAUGAAGGACGGGACUAACACCGAUAUGCUUCGGGGAGCUGUACGUAAGCUAUGAUCCGGAGAUUUCCGAAUGGGGCAACCCAGCAGUUUUAAUCAACUGUUACCACUAGAUGAAUUCAUAGUCUAGUUGGAGGUAAACGCUGUGAACUGAAACAUCUCAUUAGCAGCAGGAAUAUAAAGAAAUUUCGAUUCCCUAAGUAGCGGCGAGCGAACGGGGAACAGCCCAAACCAAAGUGCUUGCACUUUGGGGUUGUAGGACUGAACAUUUGAGUUACCAAAGAAUUUGAUAGUCGAAGGAUUUGGGAAAAUCCGCCAUAGAUGGUGAUAGCCCAGUAGAUUAAAUCAAGUUCUCUCAGUUCAGGAUCCUGAGUACGGCGGAACACGUGAAAUUCCGUCGGAAUCCGGGAGGACCAUCUCCCAAGGCUAAAUACUACCUAGUGACCGAUAGUGAACCAGUACCGUGAGGGAAAGGUGAAAAGCACCCCGGAAGGGGAGUGAAAUAGUUCCUGAAACCAUGUGCCUACAAUAAGUCAGAGCGCGUUAAUGCGUGAUGGCGUGCCUUUUGUAGAAUGAACCGGCGAGUUAUGAUCCCGUGCAAGGUUAAGACUAAAAAGUCGGAGCCGUAGCGAAAGCGAGUCUGAAAUGGGCGUUUUGAGUACGAGGUUAUAGACCCGAAACCAGGUGACCUAUCCAUGUCCAGGUUGAAGGUGCGGUAAAACGCACUGGAGGACCGAACCCGUGUAAGUUGAAAAUUGCUGGGAUGAGGUGUGGAUAGCGGUGAAAUUCCAAACGAACUUGGAGAUAGCUGGUUCUCUCCGAAAUAGCUUUAGGGCUAGCCUCGGAAUUAGGAUCAUGGAGGUAGAGCACUAUUUGGACUAGGGGCCCGUCUUGGGUUACUGAAUUCAGAUAAACUCCGAAUGCCAUUGAUUCAUAUCCGGGAGUCAGACGAUGAGUGAUAAGAUCCACCGUCGAAAGGGGAACAGCCCAGACCAUCAGUUAAGGUCCCUAAAUGUAUGCUAAGUGGAAAAGGAUGUGGAGUUGCAUAGACAACUAGGAUGUUGGCUCAGAAGCAGCCACCAUUUAAAGAGUGCGUAAUAGCUCACUAGUCGAGUGAUCCUGCGCCGAAAAUGUACCGGGGCUAAGCAUACUACCGAAACCAUGGAUGCGACCAUUAGGUCGCGUGAUAGGAGAGCGUUCUAAGGGCGGUGAAGCAAGAUCGUGAGGACUUGUGGAGCGCUUAGAAGUGAGAAUGCCGGUAUGAGUAGCGAAAGAUAGGUGAGAAUCCUAUCCACCGAAUGACUAAGGUUUCCUGGGGAAGGCUCGUCCUCCCAGGGUUAGUCGGGACCUAAGUCGAGGCCGAGAGGCGUAGACGAUGGAUAACAGGUUGAGAUUCCUGUACUAGUUAAGUGCGUUUGAGCAAUGGAGGGACGCAGGAGGCUAAGAUGUGCAUUCUGUUGGAUUAGAAUGUCCAAGCAGUAAGUCUUGUGAAGAGUCAAAUGCUUUUCACUUUAAGGACAAGCUGUGAUGGGGAGCGAAAUUUAGUAGCGAAGCGUCUGAUGUCACACUGCCGAGAAAAGCUUCUAGUGAGUACUUAACUACCCGUACCGCAAACCGACACAGGUAGUCGAGGAGAGAAUCCUAAGGUGAGCGAGUGAACUCUCGUUAAGGAACUCGGCAAAAUGACCCCGUAACUUCGGGAGAAGGGGUGCUGAUCGCAAGAUCAGCCGCAGUGAAUAGGCCCAGGCGACUGUUUAUCAAAAACACAGGUCUCUGCAAAAUCGUAAGAUGACGUAUAGGGGCUGACGCCUGCCCGGUGCUGGAAGGUUAAAAGGAUGGGUUAGCUUCGGCGAAGCUCAGAAUUGAAGCCCCAGUAAACGGCGGCCGUAACUAUAACGGUCCUAAGGUAGCGAAAUUCCUUGUCGGGUAAGUUCCGACCCGCACGAAAGGCGUAACGAUCUGGGCACUGUCUCAACGAGAGACUCGGUGAAAUUAUAUUGUCCGUGAAGAUGCGGACUACCCGCGACAGGACGGAAAGACCCCAUGGAGCUUUACUGUAGCUUGAUAUUGAGUGUUUGUACAGCUUGUACAGGAUAGGUAGGAGCCAUAGAAACCGGAACGCUAGUUUCGGUGGAGGCGUUGGUGGGAUACUACCCUCGCUGUAUGACCACUCUAACCCGCACCACUAAUCGUGGUGGGAGACAGUGUCAGGUGGGCAGUUUGACUGGGGCGGUCGCCUCCUAAAAAGUAACGGAGGCGCCCAAAGGUUCCCUCAGAAUGGUUGGAAAUCAUUCGCAGAGUGUAAAGGCACAAGGGAGCUUGACUGCGAGACAGACAGGUCGAGCAGGGACGAAAGUCGGGCUUAGUGAUCCGGUGGUACCGUAUGGAAGGGCCAUCGCUCAACGGAUAAAAGCUACCCUGGGGAUAACAGGCUUAUCUCCCCCAAGAGUCCACAUCGACGGGGAGGUUUGGCACCUCGAUGUCGGCUCAUCGCAUCCUGGGGCUGUAGUCGGUCCCAAGGGUUGGGCUGUUCGCCCAUUAAAGCGGUACGCGAGCUGGGUUCAGAACGUCGUGAGACAGUUCGGUCCCUAUCCGUCGCGGGCGUAGGAAAUUUGAGAGGACCUGUCCUUAGUACGAGAGGACCGGGAUGGACAUACCUCUGGUGUACCAGUUGUGCCGCCAGGCGCAUCGCUGGGUAGCUACGUAUGGAUGUGAUAAACGCUGAAAGCAUCUAAGUGUGAAACACACCUCGAGAUGAGAUUUCCCAUUCCUUUAUGGAAGUAAGACCCCUGAAAGAUGAUCAGGUAGAUAGGUUAGAAGUGGCAGUGCGGUGACGCAUGAAGCGGACUAAUACUAAUCGGUCGAGGACUUAACCAA
rnacentral:rRNA from 1 species